GCCUGAGUAGCUCAAUUGGCAGAGCAAUGCAUUCGUAAUGCAGAGGUUGUCGGUUCAACUCCGGCCUCAGGCA
rfam:Chlamydiae bacterium RIFCSPHIGHO2_12_FTLL_49_32 rifcsphigho2_12_scaffold_3085, whole genome shotgun sequence.